GAUGAACGCUAGCGAUAGGCUUAACACAUGCAAGUCGAGGGGCAGCACAAGGUAGCUUGCUCUCUGGGUGGCGACCGGCGCACGGGUGCGUAACGCGUAUGCAACUUGCCCUAUACAGGAGGAUAACCCGUCGAAAGACGGACUAAUACUGCGUAUGCUCACAACUUGGCAUCAAGUGGUGAGGAAAGAAAUUCGGUAUAGGAUAGGCAUGCGUCCCAUUAGUUUGUUGGUGAGGUAACGGCUCACCAAGGCAACGAUGGGUAGGGGAACUGAGAGGUUUAUCCUCCGUACUGGUACUGGGACACGGACCAGACUCCUACGGGAGGCAGCGGUGAGGAAUAUUGGUCAAGGGGCGCGAGCCUGAACCAGCCAAGUCGCGUGAAGGAUGACUGUCUUAUGGAUUGUAAUCUUCUUUUAUACGGGAAUAACAAGAGUCACGGGUGACUCCCUGCAUGUACCGUAUGAAUAAGCAUCGGCUAACUCCGUG
rnacentral:rRNA from 1 species